rnacentral:lncRNA from 1 species
CGCUGUUCCUCUUGGUCCACGGCGGCGGGAGAAAGGGGGUGGAGGGGGCUGGCGAAUGCGGGCGUGUUCCCGUGCAGAGGAUGGCCUUGCAGUUGGCGCCGUGCGCGUCGGCGGCACAAGACGCGCAGGUGCAGGUCUCCGCCGCCUGCUGCAGCGCGGUGCAGAGGGUGGGCCAGAACCCCGCCUGCCUCUGCGCCGUCAUGCUCUCCGACACCGCCAAGAGCGUCGGAGCGAAGCCGGAAGUGGCCGUCACCAUUCCCAAGCGGUGC